CAGCCGCGGUAAUACGGAGGAUCCGAGCGUUAUCCGGAUUUAUUGGGUUUAAAGGGUGCGUAGGCGGCCUGUUAAGUCAGGGGUGAAAGACGGUAGCUCAACUAUCGCAGUGCCCUUGAUACUGAUGGGCUUGAAUAUACUAGAGGUAGGCGGAAUGUGACAAGUAGCGGUGAAAUGCAUAGAUAUGUCACAGAACACCAAUUGCGAAGGCAGCUUACUAUGGUAUGAUUGACGCUGAGGCACGAAAGCGUGGGGAUCAAACAGGAUUAGAUACCCUGGUAGUCCACGCCCUAAACGAUGAACACUCGAUGUUGGCGAUAUACGGUCAGCGUCUAAGCGAAAGCGUUAAGUGUUCCACCUGGGGAGUACGCCCGCAAGGGUGAAACUCAAAGGAAUUGACGGGGGCCCGCACAAGCGGAGGAGCAUGUGGUUUAAUUCGAUGAUACGCGAGGAACCUUACCCGGGCUUGAAAGUUAGUGAAUGUGACAGAGACGUCACAGUUCUUCGGAACACGAAACUAGGUGCUGCAUGGCUGUCGUCAGCUCGUGCCGUGAGGUGUUGGGUUAAGUCCCGCAACGAGCGCAACCCCUAUGUUUAGUUGCCAGCAUUUAAGGUGGGGACUCUAAACAGACUGCCUAUGCAAAUAGAGAGGAAGGAGGGGACGACGUCAAGUCAUCAUGGCCCUUACGUCCGGGGCUACACACGUGCUACAAUGGAUGGUACAGAGGGCCGCUACCUGGCAACAGGAUGCCAAUCUCAUAAAGCCAUUCACAGUUCGGAUCGGGGUCUGCAACUCGACCCCGUGAAGUUGGAUUCGCUAGUAAUCGCGUAUCAGCAAUGACGCGGUGAAUACGUUCCCGGGCCUUGUACACACCGCCCGUCAAGCCAUGGAAGCUGGAAGUGCCUGAAGUGCGUAACCGCAAGGAGCGUCCUAGGGUAA
rnacentral:rRNA from 1 species